CCUACGGGAGGCAGCAGUGGGGGAUAUUGCACAAUGGGGGGAACCCUGAUGCAGCGACGCCGCGUGGGUGAAGGAGUGCUUCGGCAUGUAAAGCCCUAUCGGCAGGGAAGAAGCAAGACGGUACCUGACUAAGAAGCCCCGGCUAACUACGUGCCAGCAGCCGCGGUACUACGUAGGGGGCGAGCGUUAUCCGGAUUCACUGGGUGUAAAGGGAGCGUAGACGGCCGUGCAAGCCAGGGGUGAAAGGCCGGGGCCCAACCCCGGGACUGCACUUGGAACUGGAUGGCUGGAGUGCGGGAGGGGCAGGCGGAAGUCCUGGUGUAGCGGUGAAAUGCGUAGAUAUCAGGAGGAACACCGGCGGCGAAGGCGGCCUGCUGGACCGCGACUGACGUUGAGGCUCGAAAGCGUGGGGAGCGAACAGGAUUAGAUACCCCUGUAGUC
rnacentral:rRNA from 1 species